GGGGAAUAUUGCACAAUGGACGAAAGUCUGAUGCAGCAACGCCGCGUGGAGGAUGACACAUUUCGGUGCGUAAACUCCUUUUAUAUAGGAAGAUAAUGACAGUACCUGGAGAAUAAGCUCCGGCUAACUCCGUGCCAGCAGCCGCGGUAAUACGGAGGGAGCUAGCGUUGUUCGGAAUUACUGGGCGUAAAGCGCGCGUAGGCGGUUACUCAAGUCAGAGGUGAAAGCCCGGGGCUCAACCCCGGAACUGCCUUUGAAACUAGGUGACUAGAAUCUUGGAGAGGUCAGUGGAAUUCCGAGUGUAGAGGUGAAAUUCGUAGAUAUUCGGAAGAACACCAGUGGCGAAGGCGACUGACUGGACAAGUAUUGACGCUGAGGUGCGAAAGCGUGGGGAGCAAACA
rnacentral:rRNA from 1 species